AACCGCUCAGAGGUAAACGGGUGGAGUUGAACUGCGAACCCCGAGAAUUCAACUGGUGAGUGUGGUAUGAGCUUGGCAUAAUGGUUGGCUUUGCGGGUCUGCUUAGCUGCAGGUCUUCACCUCUUGGUGGAGAUGCGCGAUACACUUGUCAAGUGGUGCGCGCUCGUUGAGUUACUCGGACAUGCUUGCCAGUGCACUUUCUCGGGGUGUUCACCACGACCGGCGCCGCUACUUGUCUAAUAUGGUUAAACCGGUCUUGCUUGGUCCUUGUGGCUUUGCUUGAUCGGGAUGGCAGGUAACUCGUUAACUUGUGUGUUGGCUUCGGUUGACAUGCGCUUGGUUUUCGAGUGUAAUCAGCUGACUGUAUUGGUGCUAUGUAGUGCGUCGGAGACGGCGGCUUGUGGUGUGUGCCUGCGUGCCUAUUUGCUGACGGAACCGGGUUUGGUUAUUUUGUUGCCUGUUCUGCAGGCCUGGUGAUGGCCCGGUUUCGCUUGGUGGAUGGGGGCGUGUGUGACACUUAUCAGGGCCUAUAGUCUGUGGUGUUGUGGUAGACUAUCCACCUGACCCGUCU
rnacentral:rRNA from 1 species